GUAUUGCUGAGGAGUCCCACAACAGGAUGAAACGGCUAUCCAGUAC
rnacentral:hammerhead_ribozyme from 1 species